AGUGAACGCUGGCGGUAGGCCUAACACAUGCAAGUCGAACGGCAGCACAGUAAGAUCUUGCCCUUACCGGUGGCGAGUGGCGGACGGGUGAGGAAUACAUCGCAAUCUACUUUUUCUGGGGUGACAACGUAGGGAAACUUAUGCUACUACCGCAUACGACCUACGGGUGAAAGCAGUGGAUCUUCGCACUUUUCGCGAUUGUUUGAGCCGAUGUCGGAUUAGCUAGUUGGCAGGGUAAAGGCCCACCAAGGCGACGAUCCGUAGCUGGUCUGAGAGGGUGAUCAGCCACACUGGAACUGAGACACGGUCCAGACUCCUACGGGAGGCAGCAGUAGGGAAUAUUGGGCAAUGGGCGAAAGCCUGAUCCAGCAAUACCGCGUGAGUGAAGAAGGCCUUCGGGUUGUAAAGCCCUGUUGUUAGGAAAGAAAAGCAGCGGGUUAAUACCCGGAUGUUCUGACGGUACCCAAAGAAUAAGCAACGGCUAACUUCGUG
rnacentral:rRNA from 1 species